rnacentral:lncRNA from 1 species
UGGGGCACGGUUUAAUUUCAUUUUAAAUAUAGCUUCUGUGCAUUCUUCUUCAGUUAUUUCUCCUUCGCAAGUAUCACUUUCACUUUCACUUAAUUUUUUAUGUUUUUUAAUAUCAUUUAAAUAAUUUUGUGUUUCUUGUAAAUUUGGAUUUGUUGACGUGUAUAAAUCUUUAUAAUAUUUUACUUCAAGGUUUAAUAUUUUUUCAUGAUCCCUAGUUAUCUCCCCUUUUUCAUCAUAUAGUUGUGUUAUUGUUUUUUUUGCUUUGCCUAGAUUUCUCAAGACCUAGAAAAUAAGCUGAAUUUCUUUCACCCUCUUCCACCCAUUUUGCUCUAGCUCUAAUUUGGUUACCCUUUAUUUUUUCAUAGUAAAGCUUUCCUAAUUUUUCUUCUGUAUAUUCUAUUGUUUGCAAUAAACUUGUUUUAGUUGUAUUAUUGUUUUCAGUAUCAGCUAGGAUAUUAAGUCUUUGUAAGUCUUUUUCUAAAAUGUUUAUAUUAUCUCUUUUUUCCUUAGCUUUAGAUUUGCAAUAAUUGAUUGAAAUAUCUCUUACCUCAGUUUUAAAGUUAUCCCAUAGUAGGUCGAGAUCGGGAUAAUUUAUACUUUUGUUUUUAUAAUUAGUUAUCAAAUUAGAAAUUGUUUUCACAUAGUCCUCAUUAUCUAAUAUACUGCUAUUCAAUUUCCAGUAUCCCCUGCCUUUAGGACCUCUAUUUAAAUCUAUUUUUAGUGAGACACAAUUAUGAUCAGUAUGUUGCAGAACUAUAGGUCUUAUAUCGAAUGAAAUGGAGUUUUUGUAACCUUCAGGUCCUAUUAAAAAAAUAGUCAAUUCUUGUUGCUUCAGAUCUAUCUUUUCUACACCAAGUGAACUGUGUUUUAUGUUUGUUUUUCUCUCUCCAAACAUCUAUAACUUUUAAUGAUUUGAUUAAUUUGUUGAGAUUACAGACUGGUUUUUU